UACGAAGGGGGCUAGCGUUGUUCGGAAUUACUGGGCGUAAAGCGUAUGCAGGCGGAUCGUUAAGUCGGGGGUGAAAUCCUGGAGCUCAACUCCAGAACUGCCUUCGAUACUGGCGAUCUUGAGUCCGGAAGAGGUGAGUGGAACUCCUAGUGUAGAGGUGGAAUUCGUAGAUAUUCGCAAGAACACCAGUGGCGAAGGCGGCUCACUGGCCCGAUACUGACGCUGAGGCACGAAAGCGUGGGGAGCAAACAGG
rnacentral:rRNA from 1 species